AGCUCAAAUUUGAAAUCUGGCCCCCAGGGCCCGAGUUGUAAUUUGCAGAGGAUGCUUUUGGCGCGGUGCCUUCCGAGUUCCCUGGAACGGGACGCCAUAGAGGGUGAGAGCCCCGUCUGGUCGGACGCCUAGCCUGUGUAAAGCUCCUUCGACGAGUCGAGUAGUUUGGGAAUGCUGCUCUAAAUGGGAGGUAUAUGUCUUCUAAAGCUAAAUACCGGCCAGAGACCGAUAGCGCACAAGUAGAGUGAUCGAAAGAUGAAAAGCACUUUGAAAAGAGGGUUAAAUAGUACGUGAAAUUGUUGAAAGGGAAGCGCUUGUGACCAGACUUGGGCCCGGUGGAUCAUCCAGCGUUCUCGCUGGUGCACUCCGCCGGGUUCAGGCCAGCAUCAGUUCGCCGCGGGGGAAAAAGGCUUCGGGAACGUGGCUCCUACGGGAGUGUUAUAGCCCGUUGCAUAAUACCCUGGGGCGGACUGAGGUUCGCGCUCCGCAAGGAUGCUGGCGUAAUGGUCAUCAGCGACCCGUCUUGAAACACGGACCAAGGAGUCGUCUUCGUAUGCGAGUGUUCGGGUGUAAAACCCCUACGCGUAAUGAAAGUGAACGCAGGUGAGAGCUUCGGCGCAUCAUCGACCGAUCCUGAUGUUCUCGGAUGGAUUUGAGUAAGAGCAUACGGGGCCGGACCCGAAAGAAGGUGAACUAUGCCUGUAUAGGGUGAAGCCAGAGGAAACUCUGGUGGAGGCUCGCAGCGGUUCUGACGUGC
rnacentral:rRNA from 1 species